UCCGUUGUUGUCCAGCGGUUAGGAUAUCUGGUUUUCACCUAGGAGACCGGAGUUCAAUUCUUGGCAACGGAA
rnacentral:tRNA from 1 species